rnacentral:rRNA from 1 species
CCUACGGGUGGCAGCAGUGGGGAAUAUUGCACAAUGGGGGGAACCCUGAUGCAGCGACGCCGCGUGAGCGAUGAAGUAUUUCGGUAUGUAAAGCUCUAUCAGCAGGGAAGAAAAUGACGGUACCUGACUAAGAAGCCCCGGCUAACUACGUGCCAGCAGCCGCGGUAAUACGUAGGGGGCAAGCGUUAUCCGGAUUUACUGGGUGUAAAGGGAGCGUAGACGGUUCUGCAAGGCAGAUGUGAAAGCCCGAGGCUCAACCCUGGGACGGCAUUGGAGACUGUAAGACUGGAGUGAAGGAGAGGGAAGCGGAAGUCGUGGUGUAGCGGUGAAAUGAGGAGAUAUGAGGAGGAAAGCCAGUGGCGAAGGCAGCGGA